UAGCUAUGUAUUUGCAGCUAGUUCUUGAUCUUUUGUUCUUGCUAAACCCUUUAGGGAUCACUAGUAUGAUCUCUAUCCUCUAUAAGCUGCUUCCUCAUAGGAUUUUGCCAUCAAACUAUACCGUUAAUAGUAGUCAUCCCCCUUAUAUCAUGCCUCCAAAAUGCUGUAUCUGGAUUAUAUUCACAUGAUAAUUCAAUGUUGGAA
rnacentral:lncRNA from 1 species